GACGAACGCUGGCGGCGUGCUUAAUACAUGCAAGUUAACUUGACUUUAGAUAGCAAUAUCGGAAAGUAGGGUGGCGCACGGGUGCGUAACGCGUAGGUAAUCUGCCCUGAGGUCUGACAUAACCCGUCGAAAGGCGGGCUAACAUCAGAUGAUAUAUAAUCACGACAUCGUGGAAAAUAUCAAAUCUUCGGAGCCUUGGGAUGAGCCUGCGUCUGAUUAGGUAGUUGGCGGAGUAAUAGCCCACCAAGCCUACGAUCAGUAGCUGGUCUGAGAGGAUGAUCAGCCACACUGGAACUGAGACACGGUCCAGACUCCUACGGGAGGCAGCAGUAAGGAAUAUUGCUCAAUGGGGGAAACCCUGAAGCAGCAACGCCGCGUGAAGGAUGAAAUACUUUUGUAUGUAAACUUCUGUAAGAUGGGAAAAAUAUUCUCUCGGAGAAUUGAUUGUACCAUCAGAGUAAGCCCCGGCUAACUACGUGCCAGCAGCCG
rnacentral:rRNA from 1 species